AGAGUUUGAUCAUGGCUCAGGACGAACGCUGGCGGCGUGCUUAAUACAUGCAAGUCGAGCGAGGUUACUGCAUCAGAUUCCUUCGGGAUGAAGAAGCUUUAACCUAGCGGCGGACGGGUGUGUAACGCGUGGGUAACCUACCCUAGAGAUCGGGAUAACAGCGGGAAACUGCUGCUAAUACCGGAUGUCUCUACGAGAAGGCAUCUUUUAGUAGAGAAAGCGAUAGCGCUCUAGGAUGGGCCCGCGUCCCAUUAGCUAGUUGGUGAGGUAACGGCUCACCAAGGCGACGAUGGGUAGCCGGCCUGAGAGGGUGGACGGCCACACUGGGACUGAGACACGGCCCAGACUCCUACGGGAGGCAGCAGUAGGGAAUAUUGCGCAAUGGAGGAAACUCUGACGCAGCGACGCCGCGUGAGCGAUGAAGGUUUUCGGAUCGUAAAGCUCUGUCCUUGGGGAAGAAGGUCUUCGGACUUGACGGUACCCAAGAAGAAAGCCCCGGCUAACUACGUGCCAGCAGCCGCGGUAAUACGUAGGGGGCAAGCGUUGUCCGGAAUUAUUGGGCGUAAAGGGUGCGUAGGCGGCCUUUUAAGUCAGAUGUGAAAGCCCGCGGCUUAACUGCGGGAUUGCAUUUGAAACUGGGAGGCUUGAGUAUCGGAGAGGGUAGUGGAAUUCCCAGUGUAGCGGUGAAAUGCGUAGAUAUUGGGAGGAACACCAGUGGCGAAGGCGACUGCCUGGACGAAAACUGACGCUGAGGCACGAAAGCUAGGGGAGCAAACAGGAUUAGAUACCCUGGUAGUCCUAGCCGUAAACGAUGGGUACUAGGUGUAGGGGGUUUCGAUACCUUCUGUGCCGCAGUUAACGCAUUAAGUACCCCGCCUGGGGAGUACGUGCGCAAGCAUGAAACUCAAAGGAAUUGACGG
rnacentral:rRNA from 1 species